rnacentral:rRNA from 1 species
CAUAGCGACUAUCGUGGCAUAUCAAUAAGCGGAGGAAAAGAAACUAACAAGGAUUCCCUUAGUAACGGCGAGUGAAGCGGGAAGAGCUCAAAUUUGAAAUCUUCAAGGUUUUACCUUGACGAAUUGUAGUUUAAAGAAGUGUUUUCUGUUGAAGUUUUGGUAAAAGUUCUUUGGAAUAGGACAUCAUAGAGGGUGAGAAUCCCGUAUUUGACCAUUAUUUUCAGCUGUGUGAUACACUUUCAAAGAGUCGGAUUGUUUGGGAAUGCAGUCCAAAAUGGGUGGUAAAUUUCAUCUAAAGCUAAAUAUUGGCGAGAGACCGAUAGCGAACAAGUACCGUGAGGGAAAGAUGAAAAGAACUUUGAAAAGAGAGUUAAACAGUACGUGAAAUUGUCAAAAGGGAAGCGUUUGACACCAGUGUUGUUUUCUCGAAAAUCAAUUAAAAAAGGCCGGAUUUUGUGUUGUAUUGACCUUAAAAGCUUUCUUCACUCUUUUCUUGUCUUUUUUAAUGCACUUUUCGUUUAACAAGUCAACAUCAGUUUCUUUUGUUGUAAAAGGGUCAUUGGAAGGUGGCUUUCUUUUCGGAGAAAGUGUUUAUAGCCUUUGAUCUCUGCAACCGGAGAGACUGAGGUCUGCAGCGUAGACUCUUCGGGGUUAGAUACAUUUGUGCUAAGCUAUAGCUUUUUAUAGACAACUUGUUGACUAUAUUUAGUCUUGUGGCUUACUCGCUUAUGCUAUUUUACCUACGCUUAGGAUGUUGAUAGUCACAGCGUGUAC